UACGGAGGGUGCAACCGUUGCUCGGAAUCAUUGGGCGUAAAGCGCACGUAGGCGGUCCAGCAAGCGGGGAGUGAAAGCCCUCGGCUUAACCGAGGAAGUGCUUUCCGAACUACUGGACUUGAAUACUGAAGAGGAUCGCGGAAUUCCCGGUGUAGAGGUGAAAUUCGUAGAUAUCGGGAGGAACACCAGUGGCGAAGGCGGCGAUCUGGGCAGAUAUUGACGCUGAGGUGCGAAAGCGUGGGGAGCAAACAGG
rnacentral:rRNA from 1 species